rnacentral:miRNA from 1 species
UAUUGAUUGUAUGGAUGACU